rnacentral:rRNA from 1 species
GAUGAACGCUGGCGGCGUGCCUAAUACAUGCAAGUCGAGCGAACGGACGAGAAGCUUGCUUCUCUGAUGUUAGCGGCGGACGGGUGAGUAACACGUGGAUAACCUACCUAUAAGACUAGGAUAACUUCGGGAAACCGGAGCUAAGACCGGAUGAUAUUUUGAACCGCAUGGUUCAAAAGUGAAAGACGGUCUUGCUGUCACUGAUAGAUGGAUCCGCGCUGCAUUAGCUAGUUGGUAAGGUAACGGCUUACCAAGGCAACGAUGCAUAGCCGACCUGAGAGGGUGAUCGGCCACACUGGAACUGAGACACGGUCCAGACUCCUACGGGAGGCAGCAGUAGGGAAUCUUCCGCAAUGGGCGAAAGCCUGACGGAGCAACGCCGCGUGAGUGAUGAAGGUCUUCGGAUCGUAAAACUCUGUUAUUAGGGAAGAACAUAUGUGUAAGUAACUGUGCACAUCUUGACGGUACCUAAUCAGAAAGCCACGGCUAACUACGUG